GCGUACUGGUUAGAUCGGGAUACUCAUCAAUUUACAUUUUAUUACCGAGAACUGUUUCGUAUGCUAAUGGCGUGCCAUCCCACAUGUGGUUAGAUGGAUUACAAAGGCAGCGAACCCUCAAAACCUGUUUUUCGGAGUUUCAUCACAUCACCAGUGCGCCCUUUU
rnacentral:sRNA from 1 species